rnacentral:tRNA from 1 species
GCCGAGGUAGCUCAGCCUGACAAGGCGGGCUAAGGAGAGAGGCCAAGCCUCCAGCACCCGGCUGAAGACCGGGCUGUCGCAGGUUCAAAUCCUGCCCUCGGCA